CACGUAGGGCGCAAGCGUUGUCCGGAAUUAUUGGGCGUAAAGAGCUCGUAGGCGGUCUGUCGCGUCCGCUGUGAAAACUCGGGGCUUAACCCCGAGCCUGCAGUGGAUACGGGCAGACUAGAGGUAGGUAGGGGAGAAUGGAAUUCCCGGUGUAGCGGUGAAAUGCGCAGAUAUCAGGAGGAACACCGGUGGCGAAGGCGGGUCUCUGGGCCGAUACUGACGCUGAGGAGCGAAAGCGUGGGGAGCGAACAGG
rnacentral:rRNA from 1 species